GUGGGGAAUAUUGCACAAUGGGGGAAACCCUGAUGCAGCAACGCCGCGUGAGUGAUGAAGGCCUUCGGGUUGUAAAGCUCUGUCUUCAGGGACGAUAAUGACGGUACCGGGAGAAGAAGCUGCGGCUAACUACGUGCCAGCAGCCGCGGUAAUACGUAGGCAGCAAGCGUUGUUCGGAGUUACUGGGCGUAAAGAGUGCGUAGGCGGUUUUCUAAGUUCGGUGUGAAAUCUCCCGGCUUAACUGGGAGGGUGCGCCGAAGACUGGGAAGCUGGAGUGUGGGAGAGGCAGGCGGAAUUCCUGGUGUAGCGGUGAAAUGCGUAGAUAUCAGGAGGAACACCGGCGGUGUAGACGGCUUGCUAGACCAUAACUGACGCUGAGGCACGAAAGCGUGGGUAGCAAACA
rnacentral:rRNA from 1 species